rnacentral:misc_RNA from 1 species
CAUUUGGAAGAAAAUAAACUUGAGGGUAUUCCAAAUAUGAUCUAGAGGCGAAAUACUGGCAAUCAAAAUCAUCAUACAAGAGGUUUGUCAAAAAGGGACUCUAAAUGCAAGUGUGGAAGAAGGUUAUGAACUCUGAUCUGUUACCCUGUGAAUUCGCACAUAAUAGAGUUCUUUAGUUAGGCUGAAGUAAGAUAUUGUUGUUGAUGAACCAGAG